rnacentral:tRNA from 1 species
UCUGUAGCUCAGUUGGUAGAGCGUUAGAAUGUGGAUCUAAUGGUCGCAGGUUCGAGUCCUGUCAG